GCGGUCCACCGAGUGCGAGGCCGGCCCUGCAGCGGGGAGGCCGCUCAGACCGCCGUCUGCCCGUCCGCGGCCGCCCCGCCGUCCGGCCUUUACUCCGGCGCAACCUCCGCUCACAGCUCAGACCUCUGCCCCAAACCCAGACUUGUGUAUCUGAUCACAUCUGAAACGGCAUGUGCGAAGCCCAGCUCCUGAUCUCCUCCGCCCGGAACCUCUGCACGAAGAUCUUUGCUGCUCCGUUGAUGAUGCGUCCUUCUAGUGCCUCACGCUGAAAGCCUUGGGCCCCUCUCGGCUCCCCUCCCCAUGCAAACCAUCUGGAAAUCCCAUCAACUCCAUCUUCCAAAUGCACU